UUGGAGGGCAAGUCUGGUGCCAGCAGCCGCGGUAAUUCCAGCUCCAAUAGCGUAUAUUAAAGUUGUUGCAGUUAAAAAGCUCGUAGUUGAAUUUCGGGGUUCAACCGCUGGUCGGGCAAUAGUCUGUACUGGCGUGUAGAAUUUCUACCUUCUGGGGAACUAUCAUGUUAUUUAUUUAGCGUGGUAGGAAACCAGGACCUUUACCUUGAAAAAAUUAGAGUGUUCAAAGCAGGCUUACGUCUGAAUACAUUAGCAUGGAAUAAUAAAAUAGGACGGUGGUCCUGUUUUGUUGGUUUCUGAAUCACCGUAAUGAUUAAUAGGGAUAGUUGGGGGCAUUAGUAUUCAAUUGUCAGAGGUGAAAUUCUUGGAUUUAUUGAAGACUAACUUCUGCGAAAGCAUUUGCCAAGGAUGUUUUCAUUAAUCAAGAACGAAAGUUAGGGGAUCGAAGACGAUCAGAUACCGUCGUAGUCUUAACCAUAAACUAUGCCGACUAGGGAUCGGACGAUGUUAAUUUUUCUUGACUCGUUCGGCGCCUUACGGGAAAC
rnacentral:rRNA from 1 species